GAUGAACGCUGGCGGCGUGCCUAAUACAUGCAAGUCGAGCGAACAGACGAGGAGCCUGCUCUUCUGAGGUUAGCGGCGGACGGGUGAGUAACACGUGGAUAACCUACCUAUAAGACUGGGAUAACUUCGGGAAACCAGAUCUAAUACCGCAUCAUAUAUUAUACCGCAUGGUUCAAUAGUGAAAGACGCUUUUGCUGCCACAUAUAGAUGGUUCCGCGUCGCAUUAGCUAGUUGGUAAGGUAACGGCUUACCAAGGCAACGAUCCGUAGCCGACCUGAGAGGGUGAUCGGCCACACUGGAACUGAGACACGGUCCAGACUCCUACGGGAGGCAGCAGUGGGGAAUAUUGGGCAAUGGGCGAAAGCCUGACGGAGCAACGCCGCGUGGGUGAUGAAGGUCUUCGGGUCGUAAAACUCUGUUGUUGGGAAAGAACAAAUGUGUAAGUAACUAUGCACGUCUUGACGGUACCUAAACAGAAAGCCACGGCUAACUACGUG
rnacentral:rRNA from 1 species